GCCUCAUUGGCUCAGGGGCAGAGGGUCCAUCUAGUAAACAGAAGAUCGCUGGUUCGAUUCCAGCAUGAGGCA
rnacentral:tRNA from 1 species